AUUGAACGCUGGCGGCAGGCCUAACACAUGCAAGUCGAACGAGUGGCGGACGGGUGAGUAAUGUCUGGGAAACUGCCUGAUGGAGGGGGAUAACUACUGGAAACGGUAGCUACUACCGCAUACCAUCAGAUGUGCCCAGAUGGGAUUAGCUAGUUGGUGGGGUAACGGCUCACCAAGGGGACGAUCCCUAGCUGGUCUGAGAGGAUGAUGAGCCACACUGGAACGGAGACACGGUCCAGACGUCUAAGUGAGGCAGCGGUGGGGAUUCUUGCACAAUGGGCGCAAGCCUGAUGCAGCCAUGCCGCGUGUAUGAUGAAGGCCUUCGGGUUGUAAAGUACUUUCAGCGGGGAGGCGUUACCCGCAGAAGAAGCACCGGCUAACUCCGUGCCAGCAGCCGCGGUAAUUC
rnacentral:rRNA from 1 species